ACGAACGCUGGCGGCGUGCUUAACACAUGCAAGUCGAACGGAAAGGCCCUGCUUGCAGGGUACUCGAGUGGCGAACGGGUGAGUAACACGUGGGUGAUCUGCCCUGCACUUCGGGAUAAGCCUGGGAAACUGGGUCUAAUACCGGAUAGGAGCCAUUUUUAGUGUGAUGGUUGGAAAGUUUUUUCGGUGUAGGAUGAGCUCGCGGCCUAUCAGCUUGUUGGUGGGGUAAUGGCCUACCAAGGCGGCGACGGGUAGCCGGCCUGAGAGGGUGGACGGCCACAUUGGGACUGAGAUACGGCCCAGACUCCGACGGGAGGCAGCAGUGGGGAAUAUUGCACAAUGGGCGCAAGCCUGAUGCAGCGACGCCGCGUGGGGGAUGACGGCCUUCGGGUUGUAAACUCCUUUCGCUAGGGACGAAGCUUUUUGUGACGGUACCUAGAUAAGAAGCACCGGCUAACUACGUG
rnacentral:rRNA from 1 species